UACGGGGGGGGCAAGCGUUGUUCGGAAUUACUGGGCGUAAAGGGCUCGUAGGCGGCCAACUAAGUCAUACGUGAAAUCCCUCGGCUUAACCGGGGAACUGCGUCUGAUACUGGAUGGCUUGAGUUCGGGAGAGGGAUGCGGAAUUCCAGGUGUAGCGGUGAAAUGCGUAGAGAUGUGGAGGAACACCAGUGGCGAAGGCGGCUUUCUGGUCUGUAACUGACGCUGAGGCGCGAAAGCGUGGGGAGCAAACAGG
rnacentral:rRNA from 1 species